rnacentral:rRNA from 1 species
UACGUAGGGGGCAAGCGUUGUCCGGAAUCAUUGGGCGUAAAGAGCGUGUAGGCGGCUCGGUAAGUCCGCUCUGAAAGCCCGGGGCUCAACCCCGGGAGGCGGGCGGAUACUGUCGGGCUAGAGUCCGGAAGAGGCGAGUGGAAUUCCUGGUGUAGCGGUGAAAUGCGCAGAUAUCAGGAGGAACACCUGUGGUGUAGACAGCUUACUGGACCACUUCUGACGCUGAGACACGAAAGCGUGGGUAGCAAACAGG